UACGGAGGAUGCGAGCGUUAUCCGGAUUUAUUGGGUUUAAAGGGUGCGCAGGCGGCACGGCAAGCCGGCGGUCAAAUCGCGGGGCUCAACCCCGCCCAGCCGUUGGAACUGCCGGGCUAGAGUGGGCGAGAAGUGCGCGGAAUGCGUGGUGUAGCGGUGAAAUGCAUAGAUAUCACGCAGAACUCCGAUUGCGAAGGCAGCGCACCGGCGCCCUACUGACGCUCAGGCACGAAAGCGUGGGUAUCGAACAGG
rnacentral:rRNA from 1 species